UUUUAGUUUUUUUUUACGGUCUGAGUGUAAGCGGGGGGCACACGCAUCACACGCACAUGUAGAGGCAGAGCACAGUGAGCUGGUACUUGGCUGGCGAGCGGCGGACGGGUGAGUAAUGUCUGGGAAACUGCCUGAUGGAGGGGGAUAACUACUGGAAACGGUAGCUAAUACCGCAUAACGUCGCAAGACCAAAGAGGGGGACCUUCGGGCCUCUUGCCAUCAGAUGUGCCCAGAUGGGAUUAGCUAGUAGGUGGGGUAACGGCUCACCUAGGCGACGAUCCCUAGCUGGUCUGAGAGGAUGACCAGCCACACUGGAACUGAGACACGGUCCAGACUCCUACGGGAGGCAGCAGUGGGGAAUAUUGCACAAUGGGCGCAAGCCUGAUGCAGCCAUGCCGCGUGUAUGAAGAAGGCCUUCGGGUUGUAAAGUACUUUCAGCGGGGAGGAAGGUGUUGAGGUUAAUAACCUCAGCAAUUGACGUUACCCGCAGAAGAAGCACCGGCUAACUCCGUGCCAGCAGCCGCGGUAAUACGGAGGGUGCAAGCGUUAAUCGGAAUUACUGGGCGUAAAGCGCACGCAGGCGGUCUGUCAAGUCGGAUGUGAAAUCCCCGGGCUCAACCUGGGAACUGCAUUCGAAACUGGCAGGCUAGAGUCUUGUAGAGGGGGGUAGAAUUCCAGGUGUAGCGGUGAAAUGCGUAGAGAUCUGGAGGAAUACCGGUGGCGAAGGCGGCCCCCUGGACAAAGACUGACGCUCAGGUGCGAAAGCGUGGGAGCAAACAGAUUAUCUUU
rnacentral:rRNA from 1 species